UACGGGGGGGGGCAAGCGUUGUUCGGAAUUACUGGGCGUAAAGGGCUCGUAGGCGGCCAACUAAGUCAGACGUGAAAUCCCUCGGCUUAACCGGGGAACUGCGUCUGAUACUGGAUGGCUUGAGUUUGGGAGAGGGAUGCGGAAUUCCAGGUGUAGCGGUGAAAUGCGUAGAUAUCUGGAGGAACACCGGUGGCGAAGGCGGCAUCCUGGACCAACACUGACGCUGAGGAGCGAAAGCGUGGGGAGCGAACAGG
rnacentral:rRNA from 1 species